ensembl:lncRNA
CUUUUAUAUUUGGCAGUUUACAAGUCUAGACUUUUCCUACUAUGGCAAUCUUUUUUAAUUCUUUGGAGGUAACACAAUAUUUUGGAGUCUUAAGAAUUUGAUUUUAUACCAAUAAGAAAUAAAAAUUAGGGAUCUUUCCUGUAGUAUAUAGUUUUACUAUUUUAAAGAGAUCUCUGAAUUUUACAAGAGAACCAACAUUCCUUAGUGGCAAAACUCUGAAGGUUGAUUUGGGAGGCUUUUUGCUGCAGGAUCUCAAAAAAACUGGGAUGAUUCUAGUUAAAUGUUUUUUAAUUUUUAAACUUCCAUCAGGUCAAUACGUAAGCUAUAUUUUGUAAAGAGUAAAUCAUCCUUUAGUAUGCUGCAUGUAAAGAUCAGCGUUGUUGCACUUUCUCAAUAAUAAUAAAUGCCCUACAAUUGGCUCAUCAGUAAGCAUUUUGUUUUUUACCUAACAAGAGUACUUUGGGGCAGGUGAUUAAAUUUAUAUAGGUACCUCAAGAAAAAGAACCUGAAUAUGCUGCAUUUUGUUUCUUUAGCUUGUAUAUGUAGCAUUUUGUUCUGCUCUUAUUUUUUUGUUUAGAUAUAUGCUUUUUGGACCCCAACAGGCUGUUGAAGAGAUCUUAAAGUUACUCUUGUAGGGUUACAGUAUCUACAGUAUCCUUUUUUUUUUUUUUAACUUACUGCAAUAUCUGGUUCAAAGGUUGCCCACCAGGAGAUUAAUACUUUACCCCAAUACACCUGAGAAAAAGGAUACCAUGUUUAUAAGCAGACAAUAAUGUUUCUAAUCCUUUCUGUUCAUGCUGCUUUCUUACUUUUCUCCAUAUCACCAAGAGGUUGGAUGACUUACUUCUAAGGUCAGACUUAAACAUCAUGGCAUCUUAAUGUUUUCAACACAGACCUCACAAACUCGCCAUUGAGUAAAGUAGCAUGACCCUAAAGGUGUUGCUGGCGCUAAGCAGCCGCGUCCAUCCGGGCUCUGAAGAGCCGGUCUCGACACUUCUGUGUUCCCAGCACUCACCCUAAACUGAACAGACGGGGAGUGGUCUUAAUUGACAAAGACUAAACUGGUGAAGAAAGCUAAAGGCUGAGACACUGAGCAUCUAUGGUGGUGUUUAAGCUUAGCUGGGUCCUUUCGAGUUUGUUUUACAGCUUACUAGGUUAAGUAGUUUGCACUAUUUUUGCAAUAAAUCCAUGGAAAACCUAACAGUUAUUUGUUUUGUUUCUUAUUGUGUGUAUAUAAACUAAUACUAAAAAGUUUGGCAUAGUGUUUUUUUCACCUUACAUAACCUUUAACAUGCACAGAAUGCUGUAAAUCUGAUAAAAUAUGAUGUGAAUGAUAUUUUAUAAAGUUAUUUUGUAUGGUGUCAAUUUUGUUUUGCCUCAUACUAUGUCAGCAAAAAAA